CCUACGGGAGGCAGCAGUGGGGGAUAUUGCACAAUGGGGGGAACCCUGAUGCAGCGACGCCGCGUGGGUGAAGAAGCGCCUCGGCGCGUAAAGCCCUGUCAGCAGGGAAGAAAAUGACGGUACCUGCAGAAGAAGCCCCGGCUAACUACGUGCCAGCAGCCGCGGUAAUAAGUAGGGGGCAAGCGGUAUCCGGAUUUACUGGGUGUAAAGGGGGCGCAGACGGCGAUGCAAGCCAGGAGUGAAAGCCCGGGGCCCAACCCCGGGACUGCUCUUGGAACUGCGUGGCUGGAGUGCAGGAGGGGCAGGCGGAAUUCCUGGUGUAGCGGUGAAAUGCGUAGAUAUCAGGAGGAACACCGGUGGCGAAGGCGGCCUGCUGGACUGCAACUGACGUUGAGGCCCGAAAGCGUGGGGAGCAAACAGGAUUAGAUACCCUUGUAGUC
rnacentral:rRNA from 1 species